rnacentral:rRNA from 1 species
UACGUAGGUGGCGAGCGUUGUCCGGAUUUAUUGGGCGUAAAGGGCUCGUAGGCGGUUUGUCGCGUCGGGAGUGAAAACUCAGGGCUCAACCCUGAGCGUGCUUCCGAUACGGGCAGACUAGAGGUAUGCAGGGGAGAACGGAAUUCCUGGUGUAGCGGUGGAAUGCGCAGAUAUCAGGAGGAACACCGAUGGCGAAGGCAGAUCUCUGGGCCGUAACUGACGCUGAGGAGCGAAAGCGUGGGGAGCGAACAGG